AGUUCGUAAAUCGCUCGCGAUCUAUCGAGCCUGAGAAUCGAAUUCGUUUCUUUGCACGCUCUGGCGAGCACAAGAACGUAGUCAAGGUGUUGCUUCAUAAAUAUGUGAAAAAAAAGAAACAUAUGUGGGUUCAGAGUGAUUUUAUAAUCUUGAUUGAUUUGCGAGCUCGAACGAUAUGAUGGAUCGUUCAAUCGUGUUAUGGAGAUAUUGACGAGGAAUGGAGGUUAAAUGAAAUGAUAAUUUUCAUAAAGAGUUCGUGGAAAGCAUAUUAAUCGCACAUGAUUAAAGCAGUGAAUAUAUUAAUUACGAACGAUAUCGAGUCGAAUCCAUUAUACUUUCAACUGAAUUAAGUGAAAACAAGAUAUAAAAGUUCGAAAGUGCAUCGUUUUUCAUAAAUCAUAAUUCAAUAUUCGUAGAAGAACGAGAAAGUUCCCUUCUUUUUCAUUACAUUGAUCGCAUCUUAUAAACUUCUGUUGUUCGCAACUAGUUCAUCGGUGCAACCUGUAAUCGCAGGAUCGUGUGUGCUCAUUUGCCUUGAAGGAAUACGUGCGCUACCAAUUAAAUCAGGCUAAACUGAAGUCGGUUCUAAGAUAAUAUCAAAAUGACUUCUCUGCGCAUUAACUAGCUCGAUGGACACGAUGAAUGAAGCAUAAAUCAAAGUGAAACGAAGAGAAAUAGAUUAUCGGAAGUCGAAGACUGACUAUUGAUUUCUGGGGAGACCAGGAAGUUUAUUCAUGGAAGAACAAGAAGCUUCUUCUUCGUUUAUGUUUCAGUUUAUCCUUCAGUUCCACAAAUAUUUCAUAGUAAAUAAUUCAACGUAACUCGCACAACAUGCAAUCUCGAUCAUAUUUAUGAUCACGCGAGCGAAUCGAAACGUAGAAAUUAUCAUGUUCGUGGUAUCGUAUUGAAAGUCCAAAGAAAAGAAGAGAGCUCCUAUUUCCAAGAGAUAGUUCGUCGGUUAAUCGAGCGUGCGCUCGAAUUCAACUCGACAUGACAUAACGAUUCGCCGCCAAUUGAUUAAACUUAACGACGAUUAAGAGAAGGCAAAAUGUUGACAUAAAUUUCUAUUAAAGGGUCAUGGGACCGUGUGUAACUGCUGUCGCCAAGAAGCAUCCCUGUUGGAUUAUAUUCACUUUAAGGUUUCAGGCCCGAUCUUUUUUAUGGUUUUUUAAUAUAUUAUGAUAUAUACUUUACUUAGAUCAAGUGAUUCUCAAUUUUCCUUGAAUCACAUUUUUCUUUAUAAUUUAUGAUUCUUAUAUAAUGUAAGAUAAAUUUAAUGAGAUUAA